rnacentral:sRNA from 1 species
AGAAGAAUAAUUGCGACAAGAAGGAUGGGGUGCAUGGAAUAGUGGCAGUGGCAAUUGAUUCAGACAAGGGGAGCCAGAAUGCACUAAAAUGGACCAUUGAUCAUCUCCUCCCCAAAGGGUCAAAUGUAGUUCUCAUUCAUGUCAAGACUAAGCCCUCUUCUCUUUAUCCAUCAGUUUCUCUUGUGAACCCUAGGGCAAAUGGUAUUGCUGAGCAUGCA